CACUGCUAAUGUCUUUGCAAAAUCAAUAGAUCUAUUAGCACUUGCACGGUUUCGGCAUCGGCCUGUUUGCUUGCCUAGCUGGUGCCUCAUAUAUUUGUUUUUGUGUCGUUGAAGAUAACUGCAUAAAUGUUUCGUGGCAUCGUUUGGCAGCAGAUUCUUUUUCCCUAUAACGUUGAACGCUCUACGAUAGUGAUGAGCAUCUUGAAAGGAAGAUUCUAGAUCCUGAGCGCUUGAGCAGGGUGGAAUCAAUUUUCGGCAAUCUUUCAGAAACCAUUAAAAUAUAUGGUCCUUGGUCUUCUGCAUGGGUAGGAGAAGCUGGAGGGGCAUACAACAGUGGUGGCAAUCAUGUUUCUAACAGAUUUCUAAACAGCUUUUGUGCAGUUUUGUGGCAUCGGUUAAUGGGAAAGAAGGUUCUUACGGUCUCCAGUGAUGUUCAUAUUAAAGACUUUUACCUACAGUUAGGAAAUGUAAGUAGAAGUUAAUGACUUUUACCUACAAUUGAAAAUGAUAGAUACAUAUUAAAAACUUUUUACCUACAGUUAGGAAAUGUAAGUAGAAGUUAAUGACUUUUACCUACACAUUAUACAUAGUAGGUAAAACCUAUAGUGACAGACAAUUAGCCGUCACUAUACCCCCCCCUCAAAGUUGACAGAGAAAACGUCCGUAGGACAAAGUCUAUCAUACAUUUACUUACGGAUUUUUUAUUUAUAGUGACAGUUUUUAUGCGUAGGUAUAUGUCAUUUUUCUUGUAGUGUGCUAGUAGUAGUAGUUAUGAGAGAUUCUCACAAUUACGUAUAGAAAUGAUAUACCGGGAUUUUGCAUGUGUAGACUUAUAAUGAGUUAUCGGAUCGAUUUA